CCUACGGGGGGCUGCAGUGGGGAAUAUUGGACAAUGGGGGGAACCCUGAUCCAGCCAUGCCGCGUGUGUGAAGAAGGCCCUCGGGUUGUAAAGCACUUUCAGUGAGGAAGAACGCCUGGUGGUUAAUACCCAUCAGGAAAGACAUCACUCACAGAAGAAGCACCGGCUAACUCCGUGCCAGCAGCCGCGGUAAUACGGAGGGGUGCGAGCGUUAAUCGGAAUUACUGGGCGUAAGCGCGCGUAGGUGGCUUGAUAAGCCGGUUGUGAAAGCCCCGGGCUCAACCUGGGAACGGCAUCCGGAACUGUCAAGCUAGAGUGCAGGAGAGGAAGGUAGAAUUCCCGGUGUAGCGGUGAAAUGCGUAGAGAUCGGGAGGAAUACCAGUGGCGAAGGCGGCCUUCUGGACUGACACUGACACUGAGGUGCGAAAGCGUGGGUAGCAAACAGGAUUAGAUACCCCUGUAGUC
rnacentral:rRNA from 1 species